AUGCAUGUCUCAGUACAAACUUUAACAAAGUGAAACCGCAAACGGCUCAUUAAAUCAGAUACCGCAAACUUAUUGGACGUAACGGUAUCCGCCAUCGGAUAACUGUUGGGAAUUCUAGAGCUAAUACGUGCAAAAAGGCUUCGACUUUUAACAGAAGAGGUGCAUUUAUUAGACCAAAACCAGCCGUGCUUCGGCGCGCCCCUUGGUGACUCUGGAUAACUUUGCUAAUCGCAUGGCCUUGUGCCGGCGAUGUUUCCUUCAGAUAUCUGCCCUAUCAACUUUCGACGGUAGGCGAUAUGCCUACCGUGGUUGUAACAGGUAACGGAGAAUCAGGGUUCGAUUCCGGAGAGGGAGCCUUAGAAACGGCUGCUACUUCUACGGAAGGCAGCAGGCGCGCAAAUUACCCAAUCUCGGCACGAGGAGGUAGUGACGAGAAAUAACGACGUUUGGCCUUUUGGUUAAAACGAUCGGAAUGAGUGGAUUGUAAAGACUUUAACGACUAGCAAUUGGAGGGCAAGUCUGGUGCCAGCAGCCGCGGUAAUUCCAGCUUCAAUAGCGUACACUAAAGUUGUUGCAGUUAAAAAGCUCGUAGUUGGAUCUCGAGCACGUUGGGCGGUCCACCUGCUUUCAUGCAGUGGCACUCGCACUAGCGGGCUUAUUCGCCUCUCACUGGUCGCGCUGCUCUUCACCGGGUGGUGCGUGCUGGUAGGCAAAUUUACUUUGAAAAAAUUGGAGUGCUCCAAGUAAGCGUUGUGCUUGAACAUCCUCCCAUGGAAUAAUGGAACAGGACUUUGUGUCCGUUUUGUUGGUUCGGAUGCGAAGUAAUGAUUAAGAGGGACAGACGGGGGCAUUCGUAUUGCAGGGGGAGAGGUGAAAUUCUUGGAUCCUUGCAAGACGCCCGACUGCGAAAGCAUUUGCCAAGAAUGUUUUCAUUAAUCAAGAACGAAAGUCAGAGGUUCGAAGGCGAUCAGAUACCGCCCUAGUUCUGACCAUAAACGAUGCCAACUGGCGAUCUGCUGUGAAUUGUGAUUCAAUGUUGCAGCAGGCAGCCAACGGGAAACCUAAAGUUUUUGGGUUCCGGGGAGAGUAUGGUUGCUGAACUGAAACUUAAAGGAAUUGACGGAAGGGCACCACCAGGCGUGGAGCUUGCGGCUUAAUUUGACUCAACACGCGAAAGCUUACCUGGUCCGGACACCGUGAGGAUUGACAGACCGAUAGCUCUUUCUCGAUUCGGUGAAUGGUGGUGCAUGGCCGUUCUUAGUUGGUGGAGCGAUUUGUCUGGUUAAUUCCGAUAACGAACGAGACUCUAGCCUACUAACUAGCUACCCUGUCGGUGCGCUGCACUCGUGCGGUGCCUGCAGGCGUGGCUUCUUAGAGGGACAAGCGGAUAAUUUUUUUCAAACCGCGCCGAGAUGGAGCAAUAACAGGUCUGUGAUGCCCUUAGAUGUCCAGGGCCGCACGCGUGCUACAAUGAGGGAGGCAGCAUGAGUGUUCUUGGUCGAAAGAUCGGGGCAACCAUGUGAAACUCCCUCGUAACUGGGCUUGAGUUUUGUAAUUAUCACUCAUGAACGAGGAAUGCCUAGUAAGCACAAGUCAUAAGCUUGUGCUGAUUACGUCCCUGCCCUUUGUACACACCGCCCGUCGCUACUACCGAUUGAAUGUCUUAGUGAGACAAUCGGAUUGCUCCUUUUGUGGCUUCGCGGCCACACCUGGGGCGAAAAGAUGCUCGAACUUGGUCAUUUA
rnacentral:rRNA from 1 species